rnacentral:rRNA from 1 species
GGUGAACGCUGGCGGCGUGCUUAACACAUGCAAGUCGAACGGAAAGGCCCUGCUUUUGUGGGGUGCUCGAGUGGCGAACGGGUGAGUAACACGUGAGUAACCUGCCCUUGACUUUGGGAUAACUUCAGGAAACUGGGGCUAAUACCGGAUAGGAGCUCCUGCUGCAUGGUGGGGGUUGGAAAGUUUCGGCGGUUGGGGAUGGACUCGCGGCUUAUCAGCUUGUUGGUGGGGUAGUGGCUUACCAAGGCUUUGACGGGUAGCCGGCCUGAGAGGGUGACCGGCCACAUUGGGACUGAGAUACGGCCCAGACUCCUACGGGAGGCAGCAGUGGGGAAUAUUGCACAAUGGGCGGAAGCCUGAUGCAGCAACGCCGCGUGCGGGAUGACGGCCUUCGGGUUGUAAACCGCUUUCGCCUGUGACGAAGCGUGAGUGACGGUAAUGGGUAAAGAAGCACCGGCUAACUACGUG